GACGAACGCUGGCGGCGUGCUUAACACAUGCAAGUCGAACGGAAAGGCCCUGCUUUUGUGGGGUGCUCGAGUGGCGAACGGGUGAGUAACACGUGAGUAACCUGCCCUUGACUUUGGGAUAACUUCAGGAAACUGGGGCUAAUACCGGAUAGGAGCUCCUGCUGCAUGGUGGGGGUUGGAAAGUUUCGGCGGUUGGGGAUGGACUCGCGGCUUAUCAGCUUGUUGGUGGGGUAGUGGCUUACCAAGGCUUUGACGGGUAGCCGGCCUGAGAGGGUGACCGGCCACAUUGGGACUGAGAUACGGCCCAGACUCCUACGGGAGGCAGCAGUGGGGAAUAUUGCACAAUGGGCGGAAGCCUGAUGCAGCAACGCCGCGUGCGGGAUGACGGCCUUCGGGUUGUAAACCGCUUUCGCCUGUGACGAAGCGUGAGUGACGGUAAUGGGUAAAGAAGCACCGGCUAACUACGUGCCAGCAGCCGCGGUGAUACGUAGGGUGCGAGCGUUGUCCGGACUUAUUGGGCGUAAAGGGCUCGUAGGUGGUUGAUCGCGUCGGAAGUGUAAUCUUGGGGCUUAACCCUGAGCGUGCUUUCGAUACGGGUUGACUUGAGGAAGGUAGGGGAGAAUGGAAUUCCUGGUGGAGCGGUGGAAUGCGCAGAUAUCAGGAGGAACACCAGUGGCGAAGGCGGUUCUCUGGGCCUUUCCUGACGCUGAGGAACGAAAGCGUGGGGAGCGAACAGGCUUAGAUACCCUGGUAGUCCACGCUGUAAACGGUGGGUACUAGGUGUGGGGUCCAUUCCACGGGUUCCGUGCCGUAGCUAACGCUUUAAGUACCCCGCCUGGGGAGUACGGCCGCAAGGCUAAAACUCAAAGGAAUUGACGGGGCCCCGCACAAGCGGCGGAGCAUGCGGAUUAAUUCGAUGCAACGCGUAGAACCUUACCUGGGUUUGACAUGGAUCGGGAGUGCUCAGAGAUGGGUGUGCCUCUUUUGGGGUCGGUUCACAGGUGGUGCAUGGCUGUCGUCAGCUCGUGUCGUGAGAUGUUGGGUUAAGUCCCGCAACGAGCGCAACCCUUGUUCACUGUUGCCAGCACGUUAUGGUGGGGACUCAGUGGAGACCGCCGGGGUCAACUCGGAGGAAGGUGGGGAUGACGUCAAGUCAUCAUGCCCCUUAUGUCCAGGGCUUCACGCAUGCUACAAUGGCUGGUACAGAGAGUGGCGAGCCUGUGAGGGUGAGCGAAUCUCGGAAAGCCGGUCUCAGUUCGGAUUGGGGUCUGCAACUCGACCUCAUGAAGUCGGAGUCGCUAGUAAUCGCAGAUCAGCAACGCUGCGGUGAAUACGUUCCCGGGGCU
rnacentral:rRNA from 1 species